GUGGCUCGAGUUUUGCAGUAUCAUACUCCAGGACAUGGUGCCAAGGUGAAUCUCAGUCACCGUAUCCUGUGACCCUUGAUCAGAAUAGUGGAGUGUAUCACCUUUACACCAACCCAACGCAUCUUAUUCAGCUCUGGGCAAUCAAUGAGCCUUCACCUCACCUCCAGGAGAAUUUUCAGCUGAGCCUUAAGGGGCUGAGGUCAGCCUGAAAUCUUCUCUAUUUCCCUUUAGCCAGCGAAUAUCUGAGCCAUGAAGCAUCCCCCUUUUUACUGGAAUUGUGGGCCAUGCCAUAACCGCAGGGGUCUGGGGUUACCCAACAUUUGUGUGAAACAUCUGCAGAGAAUGAUCUUGCCUCUGGAGGCCUGCUGUCCCUGACAGUCAGCCACAUCAGCUCCAUCCUAGGAUUCUGCAUCUAUCACGUUCUCUCAGAGAACCCGAUCUGUUUUAUAAAGGCUCAGUGAUUCCGCUCCCCUUUAAAUGCGAAGGAACUGGAGGUCAGCCAGAGAGAGGUGAGCAUAUUCAUCAUGACCCCAUACUGUCCGCUAUAGACUGCUUACACCCCACCUCUCAGAAAUGGACACGGGGUAUGUGAUGGUCCAUUUAGUUUAUCUUCUGACUUAAUUCUGUUUAUGACCAUAUUAAAAUACUAGAGUUACAGAUAAAGUUACAAAUAUCAAUUUUUCUUGUUUAUUUCACGGUAUACUCAAGUACAUGUUUUUUACUUUUAGUUUACUAAAAGUAAAAAUUCUAGAUUACUUGAAUUUACAUUUUUGAGGGUUGAAAAUUUCCAUUUUUUUUCUAUUAAACUAUAUAUUUGAUAUUAUGUAUUAAUCAUAUCAUAUUUAUAUAAAUAGUCCAGCUUCUGUAACUCCCACAUUGAAACAUUAGUUGAACAAAAAGUCACUAUAACACUACAAUAUUGUACAACUCAACUGAAAAGAUCAUGAAGCACAGAGAUUACCACAGGGUCUAUUAAGCACAGGUGGGAAUCAUUCACUAAAGCACCAUUGCAUUUAAAUAACAAUUUUAAAAUACCCUUAAGAAAUGCUCUAACCAACUCUAUUUGAUUCUGCUUGGAAACAUACUGAUGCAAUUAGAUAGUUAUUUGGACCUUGACUAAUUGUGUAACAGAGCGGAAAUCACACAAAACACUGAGUUAUCAGUGCAUCACCUGAUUGCAACACAGACUAAUACAUUCCUCUAACUCAGCUUUGCAUGAUUCCUCACAAUGAAUAAAUGUCCAGUGCCACAUAAUAACUUUCAAAUCCAUUUAUUUUUAAUUAAAUAAUAUCAC